GACGAACGCUGGCGGCGUGCUUAACACAUGCAAGUCGAACGGAAAGGCCCUGCUUUUGUGGGGUGCUCGAGUGGCGAACGGGUGAGUAACACGUGAGUAACCUGCCCUUGACUUUGGGAUAACUUCAGGAAACUGGGGCUAAUACCGGAUAGGAGCUCCUGCUGCAUGGUGGGGGUUGGAAAGUUUCGGCGGUUGGGGAUGGACUCGCGGCUUAUCAGCUUGUUGGUGGGGUAGUGGCUUACCAAGGCUUUGACGGGUAGCCGGCCUGAGAGGGUGACCGGCCCCACUGGGACUGAGAUACGGCCCAGACUCCUACGGGAGGCAGCAGUGGGGAAUAUUGCACAAUGGGCGGAAGCCUGAUGCAGCAACGCCGCGUGCGGGAUGACGGCCUUCGGGUUGUAAACCGCUUUCGCCUGUGACGAAGCGUGAGUGACGGUAAUGGGUAAAGAAGCACCGGCUAACUACGUG
rnacentral:rRNA from 1 species